rnacentral:hammerhead_ribozyme from 1 species
ACACUGCUGAGGAGUCCCACAAUAGGACGAAACGGCCGUUCAAUGC